GAGGAAACCCAGGACUUCAGAGAGCCAUACAAUUUGAAAGACGAAGCACCGUGAAAUGCAGAAAGUUGUGGUUCGGAUAGCUCAGCUGAUUAAUUUCAUGUUGCCACAGUUUGUCAAACAUGGACAAGAUGGCUGGGGUCCUGUGGAGUUCUGGUAAUCUUCUUAUGAUAAUAAAGCAACCUUAUGCCAUAUGAUAUGCUAAGGAUGGAGGAAGAUAGAGUCUAGGUGCCUGAUGACAACAUGGAGCUGUCAAGCCCUGCAUUGCCUCCCCCUGGACGUCUCAUUAUGGGAGAAAAUGAAGCAAUUUGUUUAAGCCACA
rnacentral:antisense_RNA from 1 species